CACACACAGUCAGACACACACAGUCAGACACAAACACACACACACAGACACACACAGUCACAUACACACACACACAGUCAGACACAAACACACACACACACAGUCAGACACAUACACAGACACAAACACACACACACACACACACACAGUCAGACACAUACACAGACACAAACACACACUCACAAACACACACAGUCAGACACAAACACACACACAGUCAGACACAUACACAGACACAAACACACACUCACAAACACACACAGUCAGACACAAACACACACACACAUUAACUUUAUUUAAAUCCCCCCCCAACCUCCUUACCUUUGGGAGUGCUGGGGGGGGUCUCUCUCCCUGGUGGUCCAGUGGCUGCAGGGCGGGCGGCGCUGGC